UAUAUUAAUAUAUAUAUAUUACUGUUUCUCAAUCGAAACUUCUGGAAAGUUUCAAUAUCUUCCCGCAGCUUUUCGCGAGAUGGCUCCUGCGGCGGAGCCGGCCGAGGAACGGGCGGCGGAUGGGCAGCAGCGGGCGCUGCCGACGCCGUUCCUGACGAAGACGUACCAGCUGGUGGACGACCCCGAGAUGGAUGACGUGAUCUCGUGGAACGAGGACGGGUCGACGUUCGUCGUCUGGCGGCCGGCGGAGUUCGCACGCGACCUCCUCCCAAAACACUUCAAGCACAACAAUUUCUCCAGCUUCGUUCGCCAACUCAACACCUACGGAUUUCGGAAGAUCGUGCCGGAUCGAUGGGAGUUCGCCAACGAUUACUUCAGGAGAGGCGAAAAGCGCCUCCUCCGCGAGAUCCACCGCAGGAAGGCCGUUACGGUGGCGCCACAGCCGGCCCCUGCCGCCGCGGCGAGCAGGAUGACGGCGCUGGUAAGCCGAGCCAGAUCGCCGACGAACUCGGGGGAGGAGCAGGUGCUGUCGUCCGACUCCUCUUCCGGGCCGCUUCCCACGGUGGCCGUGGGUCCCUGCGGCGUCGCGGAGCUGGGGGAGGAGAACGAGCGGUUGAGGAAGGAGAACGAGCGGCUCGCCCGGGAGGUGGCGCAGAUGAAGAGCCUGUGCGGCCAGAUCGCGUCGCUGAUAUCGAGGCACGUGUCGGGCCGGCAUGAAGGUGGCGGAGGUGCUGAGGCGGCUCCGUUCCUGGAGCUGAUGCUGGCGAGACCUGGGGCGGAGGAGGCGUUCUACAACGAGGUCGAAGAGGAGGAGGACGUGAAGCCGGAGGAUGCCACGUCCGAGGAGGUGCCUCCCUCCCCGCCGGGAGCGAGCCCGAGGCUCUUCGGAGUGUCGAUCGGCGUGAAGCGGCCUUGGUCGGAGGACGGCGAUGGCCCGCCGCCGAUGUUGAAGCCGGGGCCAACGGAAUCGGCGGGGCUGGACCCUAACGAGGUUUAUCCAGAGCGCCGCCCCCAGCAUCCGCGGGUGAUCGACUGCCCCGAGCCGACGCGGAGGGCGUGUAACGUACCAGACUGCGCCGAUCGCGGCGGCGAAGAGCGCGACGACGAGGCGCGCACGUGACGCGAGCGGGCCAUCACGUGUUCCGAUGUUACACGGAAGCUUAAAAUAAGGAAAAAAUGAAUUAAUUUAGAAUAUAUUGUGGGCGCGGUUUGAUCCGUGUGGGCGAGGAGGCUUCAACGCCGGUACGCGUUAUGCUCGGCUUUGCCAACCUGUAAGAAGUCUUGUGUACCGAGUCAGAGCCUCGAGCCUCUUUCGAUUCCCAAGCAGCGGGCGAUCGAGUCGGUGUAAGAAUCUCUCUUUGCAUCGCGUUCAUUUAUGUGACAUCUAUGCUUCAGAAUUUUCUACGGCUAUUUUAGAGUGGGUCAAAAUCUUUGGCAAAACGUCGCUUAGAACUGUAGGAAUUAGGUAUAAUCCCAACAAAAGAUAAAACUAGAAAAUUUAUUUAUAAUUGAUAUAGAAAAUAUCGAUGAUGAGUGGAUCAAUUCAACUUGUCAUAUUUGUAUGUCAUGUCAUAUUUCAAUUCCCCCAUAUUACUUACACUCAUCUAAAGGUAGAGACAAAAAGAUGUGCGCUAUCCUUGUCAUCAACUUUUUCUUGCUGGCAUCAUACACGCUCAUAAGAUUCAUUCUUUCGAAUCAAAUGCUUUUUCGUGUAGUUGUCGUACAAAAAUAGACCAUGUUUUUUGUUUGAGUGCCCGUCCAACAGACGGUUGGUGGAAGUUUCAUAGCUCGUAUGAUGAUUCUUUUCUAUGACCACAUCAUCUUUUUUUUUUGUUCAUCAACUUGGCAUGCAAACUACCAAUCUCUCGCUAGGCAACUGUCCUCUGGUUUCUAUUAUUAGCAAGGAGUUAAGUGUGGUUGGAUCGAAUCAUAAGUCCGUCUGUUGACCUGUGCCUCAGUUAUUCUAUAUCGGACGUAAAAUUUAUGACAAGGCACAGAAUUUUGUGAAAGUACGUGAUAUAGACUCGGUCAAAAAAUUUGGCUCGCCUAUCCAAUCUCCACAAGAAAUCAAACCUGAUUACACAGAAUCCACGCAGGAAAUCGCCGCAAGGCUUCGUUCCUACUUCGUCCUACCUUCCCACGCGCUGCGUAUAUAGCGGCACCAACGCCACGAACCCCAUACGAGCAGCAAUGGAGAGGACCGCGACCACCGUAGAGAUCACCAUCAUCUCGGCCGAGGAGCUUCGCCGCGGCCGCCGUCCGCUAGACAAGGGCGCCUUCGUGGCCGUCCGUUCCGGCUCCGACACGCACGGCCAAGUCGCCACCGGCGUCGACCGGGACGGCGGAGGCUACCCCUGUUGGAACGAGAAGCUCACGAUGACGUUGCCGCCGUCGGCACGGUCACUGUCGGUGGGGGUCUACUGCAGGAGCAAGAUGGGCGCUGGGUCCGCGUGCGCGGUGGCCGCGGCGGAGGUUCCGGUGUCGGACUUCCUGUGGCUGGAGGACUACCUGCACUUGCUCAGUUACAAGCUGAGGGACAGCAACGGUGUGGGCAAUGGGAUCAUCAACUUCUCCGUUAGGGUUAUCGGCGGCUAGGGGAAACGUGGUGCGUGCCAUUGUGGGUAGACGGUGGUGUGGCUGUUGGAUAUCCCGUAGGUUAUUACGAGUUAGAUUAUGAUUAUUUUUCUUUGGUUUACAUGCAUGCACAUAAUCAAAUAAAUUCUAAAAACAAAUAAAUUUUUAUGGUUGUUGAUCUUUGUUUUGCGAAUGAAGUAAUUAAUUAUUUACUUCGGGUA